UAAGGGAUAUUCUCAAAUAGGGUAGGAAUCUACAGGGAGCACCGAGAGUGGCGGAUCAUCCCUGGGUGAAAAGGGAAGACUCGGGCAGAGCAUCCCCCGGGGCAGGGGUGAAGACGGUGGCGGGAUCGGGCGGGAGCUCUGCAGACACUACCGGAGCAUCCCCCAGAGGUAAUGUGUUUUCCCAAAUAGGGUAGGAAUCCCCACGGAGCAGCGAGAGCUGCGGAGCAUCCCCGGGGUGCGAAGGGAGGACACCGACAGAGAAUCCCUUGGGUCAACGAGCGCCGAGAUCAACCGAGCAUCCCCGUGGUGAGGACGACGGUGCCAGGAGCAGCACGGAGAGAGAGAUAGCAUCCCCCGGAGGGUAGGGAUCCCCACGGAGAGCGGCGGAGCAUCCCCGGGGUGAGAAAGGAAGACACGGACAGAGCAUCCCCCGGGGUAGCAAGCACCGACAGCGGCCGAGCACCGCCCCAGAGCGAGGGACACGGAACCGGGAGCACCACGGGGACCCAUGGAGCAUCCACCCGGGUCAGCGGUGAAGAGGGUGCCGGGAUCGGGCGGGAGGAGCGCAGACACCCAUCGGAGCACCCUCCACAGUUAUUGUAUUUUCCCAAAUAACCUAGGAAUCCACACGGAGCACCGAGAGAGAGAGAGCAUCCCCGGGGGUGAGGAAGGAGGCCACGGACAGAGAGUACCCCGGGGCAACGAGCAUCGAGAUCAGCAGAGCAUCGACCCCGGAGUGACGACCGCAGAACUGGGAGCACAACGGUGACCGAGAGAACAUCCCCUGGAGGGUGGGAAUCCACAUGGAGCACUAAGAGCGAGAGAGAAUCCCCGGGGGGGAGAAGGGAGGACACAGACAGAGCGUCACAAAGCAUCGACCCUGAGCAAGGACCAUGGUGCCCAGAGCACCACAGAGAGUGGUGGAGAAUCCCUGGGGGUAGGGAUCCACACGGAGCACCGAGUGCGGGAGAGCAUCCACGGGGGUGAGGAAAGAGGCCAUGGACAGAGAAUCCCCCGGGGCAGCGAGCACCGAGAGUGGCAAAGCAUCGACCCGGGGCGAGGAACACGGAGACCCACGGAGUGGCAAAGACGGUGCCGGGAUGGGGCGGAAGAAGCCCGGACACCCAGCGGAGCAUCCCCCUGAGGAAUCCCCACGGAGCACAGAGAGCGGCGGACUAUCGGUCCGGAGUGAGGACCACGGUGUCGGGAGCACCACGGAGAGCAGCGUCGGAGCAUCCCCGGGGUGAGAAGGCAGGACACCGACAGAGAAUCCCCCAGGGCUGCAAGCACCGAGAGCGACCGAGCAUCCCCUUGGUGAGGACGACGGUGCCAGGAGCAGCACGGAGAGUGAGAUAGCAUCCCCCGGAGGGUACGGAUCCCCACGGAGAGCGGCGGAGCAUCCCCGGGGUUGAGGAGGGAGGCCAUGGACAAAGAAUCCCCCUGGGGCAGCCGCGGUGACGGUGCCGGGAUUGGGGGGAAGGUCUGCGGACCCCCCAUAAUUAAGGCUCAUCCCUCCCCCCUCCAAUUUCUGAAAUAAAGUUGACAAAAAUCUCAUUAAA